GCCGCCUUACCAAGCUCGUCGUAGUCCUGCUCCUCGGCGCGAUCGUAAAGCGCAGGUCGCGGGUUCGAAUCCCGCGGGUGGCU
rnacentral:tRNA from 1 species